UCAAAUACAAAUAUGAUCACGGCAAUCUGC
rnacentral:piRNA from 1 species